GUGUAGGCGGCUUGGCAAGUGUCUUGUGAAAUCCCUCGGCUCAACCGAGGAAUGGCAGGGCAAACUGCUUGGCUUGAGGUCGGUAGAGGUGCCUGGAACUCCCGGUGGAGCGGUGAAAUGCGUAGAUAUCGAGAGGAAUGCCAGAGGCGAAAGCGGGGCACUGGGCCGAUCCUGACGCUGAGACCCGAAAGCGUGGGGAGCAAACAGGAUUAGAUACCCUGGUAGUCCACGCCGUAAACGAUGCACACUAGGUGGCGGAGUCUCUGACGGCACCGCCGCCGAAGCAAAAGUGCUAAGUGUGCCGCCUGGGGAGUACGGCCGCAAGGCUAAAACUCAAAGGAAUUGACGGGGGCUCACACAAGCGGUGGAGCAUGUGGCUUAAUUCGAAGCAACGCGAAGAACCUUACCCAGGUUUGACAUGCAUGGAUGCAAUCCGUGGAUAACUCGGAACGCUGCCCUUCGGGGUGAAACAUGCACAGGUGUUGCACGGCUGUCGUCAGCUCGGGCUGUGAAGUGUCGGGUUAAGUCCCUUAACGAGCGAAACCCCUGUCGCUAGUUGCCAGCGCGUUAUGGCGGGGACUCUGGCGAGACUGCCGGCGUUAAGCCGGAGGAAGGUGGGGAUGACGUCAAGUCAUCGUGGCCCUUAUGCCUGGGGAUGCACACGUGCUACAAUGGCCGAGACAAAGGGAAGCAAUACCGCGAGGUGGAGCAAAUCCCAAAAACUCGGCCCCAGUUCGGAUUGGAGGCUGCAAUUCGCCUUCAUGAAG
rnacentral:rRNA from 1 species